UGGAAAUUGAAUUCGCUCUAUAACCCUUUGUGACAUACCUAUAACUGUUGCUUCGGCGGGUAGGGUCUCCGUGACCCUCCCGGCCUCCCGCCCCCGGGCGGGUCGGCGCCCGCCGGAGGAUAACCAAACUCUGAUUUAACGACGUUUCUUCUGAGUGGUACAAGCAAAUAAUCAAAACUUUUAACAACGGAUCUCUUGGUUCUGGCAUCGAUGAAGAACGCAGCGAAAUGCGAUAAGUAAUGUGAAUUGCAGAAUUCAGUGAAUCAUCGAAUCUUUGAACGCACAUUGCGCCCGCCAGCAUUCUGGCGGGCAUGCCUGUUCGAGCGUCAUUUCAACCCUCAAGCUCUGCUUGGUGUUGGGGCCCUACAGCUGAUGUAGGCCCUCAAAGGUAGUGGCGGACCCUCCCGGAGCCUCCUUUGCGUAGUAACUUUACGUCUCGCACUGGGAUCCGGAGGGACUCUUGCCGUAAAACCCCCAAUUUUCCAAAGGUUGACCUCGGAUCAGGUAGGAAUACCCGCUGAACUUAAGCAUAUCAAUAAGGCGGAGGAA
rnacentral:rRNA from 1 species